CCCCCCCGAAAUUUCUUCUUCAAUCCCAAUCUAAAGUCAGAUUUUCAAAAAUCCUCACCGUUAAGCCAAAUCGGGCUUACCGAUUCCCACAAAAAGAAGCCUCAAACAAACAUUCAAAAACAUAUCGGCAAUGGCUUCAUAGAAAAAACAAAAGCUAAGCACAAAUAAAAACACGAUCCGAGGAAACCCUAGUUUUUGAAUCCGAAAUUAAAUGAAGAUGAUGCAACGAAUCAAGCAAUUGAUAUGGGG
rnacentral:lncRNA from 1 species